rnacentral:rRNA from 1 species
AUUGAACGCUGGCGGCAGGCCUAACACAUGCAAGUCGAGCGAGCGGCGGACGGGUGAGUAAUGUCUGGGAACUGCCCGAUGGAGGGGGAUAACUACUGGAAACGGUAGCUAAUACCGCAUACUAUCGGAUUACCCAGAUGGGAUUAGCUAGUAGGUGAGGGAAUGGCUCACCUAGGCGACGAUCCCUAGCUGGUCUGAGAGGAUGAUCAGCCACACUGGAACUGAGACACGGUCCAGAAUCCUACGGAGGCAGCAGUGGGGAAUAUUGCACAAUGGGCGCAAGCCUGAUGCAGCCAUGCCGCGUGUAGGAAGAAGGCCUUAGGGUUGUAAAGUACUUUCAGUCGGGAGGCGUUACCGACAGAAGAAGCACCGGCUAACUCCGUGCCAGCAGCCGCGGUAAUAC